AGAGUUUGAUCAUGGCUCAGAAUCAACGCUGGCGGCGUGCCUAACACAUGCAAGUCGCACGAGAAAGGGUAGCAAUGCCUGAGUAAAGUGGCGCACGGGUGAGUAACACGUGAAUGAUCUACCUCCGAGUGGGGAAUAACCUAGAGAAAUCUGGGCUAAUACCGCAUAACACUUACGAGUCAAAGCAGCAAUGCGCUUGGAGAGGAGUUCGCGGCCGAUUAGUUAGUUGGCGGGGUAAUGGCCCACCAAGACGAUGAUCGGUAUCCGGCCUGAGAGGGCGCACGGACACACUGGAACUGAAACACGGUCCAGACUCCUACGGGAGGCAGCAGUGGGGAAUUUUGCGCAAUGGGGGAAACCCUGACGCAGCAACGCCGCGUGGAGGAUGAAAUCCCUUGGGAUGUAAACUCCUUUCGAUCGGGACGAUUAUGACGGUACCGGAAGAAGAAGCCCCGGCUAACUUCGUGCCAGCAGCCGCGGUAAUACGAGGGGGGCAAGCGUUGUUCGGAAUUAUUGGGCGUAAAGGGCGCGUAGGCGGUCUGACAAGUCUGAUGUGAAAUCUCUGGGCUCAACCCAGAGUCUGCAUUAGAAACUGUCGGGCUUGAGUAUGGGAGAGGUGAGUGGAAUUUCCGGUGUAGCGGUGAAAUGCGUAGAUAUCGGAAGGAACACCUGUGGCGAAAGCGGCUCACUGGACCAUAACUGACGCUGAGGCGCGAAAGCUAGGGGAGCAAACAGGAUUAGAUACCCCGGUAGUCC
rnacentral:rRNA from 1 species